rnacentral:rRNA from 1 species
ACACAUGCAAGUCGAGCGAUGAAAUCUUGACAGAUCCCUUCGGGGUGAAGAUAAGAUGGAUUAGCGGCGGACGGGUGAGUAACACGUGAGUAACCUGCCUUAGACAUUGGGAUAGCCUCGGGAAACCGGGAUUAAUACCAAAUGAAAUCAUAGGUGCCCAUGCACUAAUGAUCAAAACUCCGGUGGUCUAAGAUGGACUCGCGUCCCAUUAGCUAGUUGGUGAGGUAACGGCCCACCAAGGCGACGAUGGGUAGCCGGCCUGAGAGGGUGAACGGCCACAUUGGAACUGAGAAACGGUCCAAACUCCUACGGGAGGCAGCAGUGGGGAAUAUUGCACAAUGGAGGGAACUCUGAUGCAGCGACGCCGCGUGAACGAUGAAGGCUUUCGAGUCGUAAAGUUCUUUUAUAUGGGAAGAUAAUGACGGUACCAUAAGAAAAAGCCCCGGCUAACUACGUGCCAGCCGCCGCCGUAACAC